UGGGGAAUAUUGGACAAUGGGCGAAAGCCUGAUCCAGCCAUGCCGCGUGUGUGAAGAAGGUCUUCGGAUUGUAAAGCACUUUAAGUUGGGAGGAAGGGCAGUAAGCGAAUACCUUGCUGUUUUGACGUUACCGACAGAAUAAGCACCGGCUAACUCUGUGCCAGCAGCCGCGGUAAUACAGCGGGUGCAAGCGUUAAUCGGAAUUACUGGGCGUAAAGCGCGCGUAGGUGGUUCGUUAAGUUGAAUGUGAAAGCCCCGGGCUCAACCUGGGAACUGCAUCCAAAACUGGCGAGCUAGAGUAGGGCAGAGGGUGGUGGAAUGUCCUGAGUAGCGGUGAAAUGCGUAGAUAUAGGAAGGAACACCAGUGGCGAAGGCGACCACCUGGGCUCAUACUGACACUGAGGUGCGAAAGCGUGGGGAGCAAACAGG
rnacentral:rRNA from 1 species